UGAGUACGAGAUGCUACGGCAUCGAAGCAGUGUAUGUCAGACUUCCAAGAAAAGCUCGCAAUGUCUUAAAUAAAUAAUGCCUGUACCAUAACCGACACAGGUGGGUAGGUAGAGUAUACUAAGGGGCGCGAGAUAACUCUCUCUAAGGAACUCGGCAAAAUGACUCCGUAACUUCGGGAGAAGGAGUGCCUUAUUUAUAAGGUUGCAAUAACAAGAUCCAAGCAACUGUUUACCAAAAACACAGGUCUCCGCUAAGUCGUAAGACGAUGUAUGGGGGCUGACGCCUGCCCAGUGCCAGAAGGUUAAAGAAGUCGGUUAGCAUUAGCGAAGCUGGUAACUGAAGCCCUGGUGAACGGCGGCCGUAACAAUAACGGUCCUAAGGUAGCGAAAUUCCUUGUCGGGUAAGUUCCGACCCGCACGAAAGGCGUAAUGAUUUGGAUACUGUCUCGGAGAGGGGCUCGGUGAAAUAGACUUGUCUGUGAAGAUGCGGACUACCUGCACCUGGACAGAAAGACCCUAUGAAGCUUUACUGUAACUUGAAAUUGAAAUUGGACUUUAUUUGCGCAGUAUAGGUGGGAGGCAUUGAAAAUAUUCUUGCGGGAAUAUUGGAGCCAUCAGUGAGAUACCACUCUUGUAAUGUUAGAUUUCUAACUUUGUAUCAUAAUCUGGUCAAAGAACAGUUUCAGGCGGGCAGUUUGACUGGGGCGGUCGCCUCCUAAAUGGUAACGGAGGCGUACAAAGGUUUCCUCUGAACGUGUAGAAAUCGUAUCUAGAGUGUAAAGGCAUAAGGAAGCUUGACUGUGAGACCUACAAGUCGAGCAGGGACGAAAGUCGGUCUUAGUGAUCUGACGGUACUGAGUGGAAAGGCCGUCACUCAACGGAUAAAAGUUACUCUAGGAUAACAGGCUGAUCUCCCCCAAGAGUUCACAUCGACGGGGAGGUUUGGCACCUCGAUGUCGGCUCAUCGCAUCCUGGGGCGGUAGUACGUCCCAAGGGUUGGGCUGUUCGCCCAUGAAAGCGGUACGCGAGCUGGGUUCAGAACGUCGUGAGACAGUUCGGUCCAUAUCCGGUGUAGGCGUUAGAAUAUUGAGAGGAGCCUUCUUUAGUACGAGAGGACCGAGAAGGACAUACCUCUGGUGUACCAGUUAUCGUGCCAACGGUAAACGCUGGGUAGCUAUGUAUGGAGAGGAUAACCGCUGAAAGCAUCUAAGUGGGAAGCCCACCUCAAGAUGAG
rnacentral:rRNA from 1 species